UCCUACGGGAGGCAGCAGUGGGGAAUUUUGCACAAUGGGGGGAAGCCUGAUGCAGCGACGCCGCGUGGAGGAUGAAGGCCUUCGGGUUGUAAACUCCUUUUGUAGGGGACAAUGAUGAUGGUACCCUAGGAAUAAGCCACGGAUAACUUUGUGCCAGCAGCCGCGGUAAGACAGAGGUGGCGAGCGUUGUUCGGAAUCACUGGGCUUAAAGGGCGCGUAGGUGGCAGUGCAAGUGUGAGGUGGAAUCCUGGGGCUUAACCCGAGAAGCUGCCUUGGAAACUGCAUUUCGAGAGUCAGAGAGGGGAGGGGAAUUUUCCGGGUGUAGCGGUGAAAUGUGUAGAUAUCGGGGAAAACCCCUGUGGAGAAGGCGGCCCUGGGGCGCUGCAGACACGGUGAGGCGAGAAAGCGUGGGGAGCAAACAGGAUUAGAUCCCCGGGUUGUCCACGCCCUAAACGGUGGGCAAUAGGUGUAGGGCUCGUAAGGGUUCUGUGCCGAAGAAACC
rnacentral:rRNA from 1 species